AGCUCCAAUAGCGUAUAUUAAAGUUGUUGCAGUUAAAAAGCUCGUAGUUGGACUUCUGGUUUGGCGCGACCAGGCCGCGCCUUCGGGCUGUGGUACUGGAGCGCGCCUACCAUCCUUCUAGGCUGUUCUUGCCCCCCUUUUUGGGUGGUUUGCAAGAUGCACCUAGAUCUUUUACUUUGAAAAAAUUAGAGUGUUCAAAGCAGGCGUUUCGCUAUGAAUACAUUAGCAUGGAAUAAUGAUAUAGGACUCUUUUCUUAUUUCGUUGGUUUCUAAGGAUAGAGUAAUGAUUGAUAGGGAUAGUUGGGGGUGCUAGUACUCAUCGGCCAGAGGUGAAAUUCUUGGAUUCGAUGAAGACUAACUUAUGCGAAAGCAUUCACCAAGGAUGUCUUCUUUA
rnacentral:rRNA from 1 species